rnacentral:rRNA from 1 species
UGGCGACCGGCGCACGGGUGAGUAACGCGUAUGCAACCUACCUAUCAGAGGGGAAUAACCCGGCGAAAGUCGGACUAAUACCGCAUAAAACAGGGACACCGCAUGGUGAUAUUUGUUAAAGAAAUUCGCUGAUAGAUGGGCAUGCGUUCCAUUAGGUAGUUGGUGAGGUAACGGCUCACCAAGCCGACGAUGGAUAGGGGAACUGAGAGGUUGGUCCCCCACACUGGUACUGAGACACGGACCAGACUCCUACGGGAGGCAGCAGUGAGGAAUAUUGGUCAAUGGGCGAGAGCCUGAACCAGCCAAGUCGCGUGAAAGGAAGAAGGAUCUAUGGUUCGUAAACUUCUUUUGCAGGGGAAUAAAGUGCAGGACGUGUCCUGUUUUGUAUGUACCCUGAGAAUAAGGAUCGGCUAACUCCGUGCCAGCCGCAGC